rnacentral:lncRNA from 1 species
AGCCCGAAUUGCCUAAGUUUGAAUUACCACCAUUGUCGAAACCUGAAUUGCCUAAAGUUGAAUUGCCACCACUAUCAAAACCCGAGUUACCCGAGAUUCCAAAACCUGAGCUCCCAAAAGUCCCUGAAUUGCCUGAAAUUCCAGAACCUAAGUUACCAAAGAAACUUGAAGUGCCAGAAAUUCCACAACCUGAGCUACCAGAGUUUCCAGAACCUGAGUUACCAGAACUACCUGAAUUUCCAGAGAUUCCAAAGCCUGAGCUGCCAAAUCUUCCUGAACUGCCUUUUUUCCCUCAUCUUCCGGAAAUUGCUAAGCCAACUCAUUCAACUUCUAAUCCGUAAAUUACCAUGCUGCGUCAUAUUGUUUCAUCGUCGUUGGAUUUCAUGUGUCGUGAACUUUCAUAAAGUACGUUUGGCAUUAUACUGGAAGAUAAAUUAUAUACGCAUUGUGCUUGUGAUAUUUUCAAUUUAUUUUUUCUUUAUUUUUUUACUGGCUGAUUCACGUGUAUUUUACGCAGUGUUCCUUGUCUUCUCUCUUGUAUUAUGUACAAUUAUAUGUGUUUCAAUUAAUAUUUCUUAAUAAUUCAUGAUGCUCUAUGUUAUCUACCUAAUUUGGUUAGUUUUACAUUUGCUUUUUUACUUUUUCAUUUACAGCCUCAUCUCAAACUCUCAAGAACUAUAGCUUCAAUUAUAUCAUACAAUUUGCCCUUGGCACAAUAAUUGACACGAUUGAUGGAUUGAUUGUUAAGGAUAUAUUAUUUCAUCAAAUAUUAAUUUUAAAAGUUAUAUUUACCGAGCCCUAUCAAUUGUCAUUUCACAACGAAUGAGACUGAUUAAAAGCAGCGGCGCCAUAAUACUAAAAGAAUCCUCAACUCAAAAACUAUUCUCAACAUAUCUGCAUAUUUAAAAUCUUGCUCAUCUUUGAUGAAACGGAAACGUUAUAGGUUGAAAGAUAAAUGAAAUAAAUGUUUCUGAAUAAUGAAGUUUACUAAAUAAAUUUGAAUUAACAAAACUAGGGUUUAGACCUCCUUUAUAUAGUAACCUUAAAUAUCCCAAAUUUAUCAAAUUUGGAAAAUCUAAAAUAUUAUUUAUUAUAAAAUUUUACUAGUUUAAAUAAGAAAAACAAAACAAAAAGCACCUAAAUCCAAAAUCUAGAGAAAAAGAUAAAAAUCCUAAAAGUAACAGGAAAAACAGAAAAAUAUCUUAAAACUAAAAAAAUGACUAGGAAAGAAGUGAAAUUUUUAGUUCAACCAUUGGGCAGAACAGCACAAAUGGUUCUGGGUUUGGUUCUUCUUGUUGCAAGCUUUGAAAUUGUAUGUUACACUUCUAAAACGGACACCUAUACCUCAAGUUAUGACCUCCAAAAACUACCCUACCCAUUCCAUGCAAACAACAUACAUCAAUCUUGAUCAAUUGCUUCACGAUUGAGAGGGACAUCGCAAAUUGAUUUUAUGAGAGAUAUGGAGGUUAAUUUUAUUGCUAAUUCGCUACCUUGAAGUCUUUGAAUUCAAGUUCGAGUCCUUGUAAUGAGCUGUCAACGAAAUUGUUAAAAAUAUAUGAAAGUUAAUUUCAAGAAAAACAUAAAUUAACCAACCGCAUUCAUCUCCAAUUAUUAUGCUUUAUAUUACAUAUUAAUUAAGAAAAUGUAACACACAUGAAAAAAAAAAAAAAGACGAAAGAUGAAUGUUGAAAAUAGUCAUGGUAUUCAUUAUUUACAAUUUUAUCAAUUGAUUAUUUUGGAUAUUUAAAAUAAUUGAUUGAUAAAAGCACAAUCUCUUUAUACAUAAUUAUUGUUGUAUUUUUUAAAGUUAGAGGAUUAAAUUGUACUUAUACAGUUUAGGAUAAAAUAGACUUUUAUUAUAAUUCUAUUAUUUUUACUGGUCUUGGUAGUAAAAUGAUAAAAAACUAAAAUAUUAAGGGAGAAAAAGUAAUAUUUAGAAUAUUUUAGUAGUAAAGUAAUAUAUCAAAAAACAUUAACUGGUAAAAUAAUAAUAACCCUUUUUUUUGUAUCCCAAUUUUUUUUAAAAUUUAUUGAGAUUAGAUAUUCAUGGGUCAAAUAGGCAUCAUUUCUUUCAUCCAUGAAUAUUUUAUGAUAAACUAGAAGAUCUUUAUUAACAAUCCAAAGUUUUACAAUACUUUUUGGAUGGCUUUAUGUUGACUAGUGGGGGAGAUUUUCAGUUUUCCUCUAAUAAAAUCACUGUAUACCACUUAUUUUCUGAUUAUUUUUAUUAUACUCAAUAAUUUUUUCUCACCAUAAUUUUAUUCAUAUAUCUUAUAUAUUAAAUAGAUCAAUUAAAUUGAAACUCUAAUAAAAAAGUUAAAUACUAAAAAUAAGAAAAAUAAAAAAUUAAAUCAAUUUACAAUUAUUCUAUUUUAUUACUUUAAAACUAAUUAUUCUAUUUUAUUUAUAAUUACUAUGAUGAACGUAAUUCUUUUUUUCAAUUAACUUAGGUUUGAUAAACUAAAAUUUUUGCUCGCUUAUCCCACAAAACAUAUGUUUGUUUAAUUGUUUUAUUUUUCUGAGAGUAAAUAUUAAUUUAUCCCAUGAAAGUGUUAAAAUAUCGAUUUAUUUUAUUUUUAAGAAGAAAAAAAAAAUUAACGCGCUCUUCUUUACCUCGUAUUUGAACCCAAAUGGAUAAUUUGAAUUUUUCCCAUUUUUAGGGAGUAACUAUCAAACCUACAUGUGUGGUGGUCUAUGCAGAAAGGGUGUCGGAUAAUGUGAAACAUGGCCAUAUGGAUAGUGUGAGGUUUGGUAUGGAAGAUUCUGUUUUGGUUUCUAAUAGAUGACAGGCAGCAGUUCAUGGAUGGUUUAAGCAUAAUAGAUGCGUCUGUGGAUAUUGAGUUUGGGAAGGUUAGCUACGUAGCUCUAGUACAUAAUCAUAGUAGCUAUAGUACAUAAUCAUGGUGGAUUCGUUAUGGCGACAGGGGUGAUUUUGGUACCAAUUCAAUGACCUCGAUAUUGUUGAGGCAGAAGCUUUAUGCUUUGGUCUCUGGCUAGCAAACGAGAUUAGUUCAUCUCUAUUAAUUAUCGAGUCAAAUUCAUUACUAGUGGUUCGGUUGGUGACAAAUAGUAGAGUACCCAUACUAAACUAUUUUUUAUAAGUUUUAAGGAAUAAUAUCUAGUAUCUACUGGUGUUGAAGUAGGAUUUUACCAUAUACUUUGAACUUGCAGCUAGACAGUAGAUGCUUCAGCAAAAUUUACUCUUUAACUGCUGUAAUUUUUUUAUAUAGGUGAAAGAUUUUUCACAACAUUUAACUUGUUUCUUCUGAAUUUUUUUUUAAUAGAAAUACUGAGAAGUUCAUUUUAAAAAAAAGUAAUUAAAUCAAAUAAUUAAUAAAUAUUGGAGUUGGACUCGUAACGAUAAAGGGAAAUGUGACACUUUGAUGACUUUCCGUGCAGUGUGGGACUCAUUUAGAAAGAAGGGCAUUUAGGUUCGGCAUUGUAGCCGGCACCGUGCCGGGCUCUCAAAAAGAGUGCCCGGCUGCCUUUGGCAGCCAAAGACUUGGUGCAGCCGGUUAACAAACCGGUUGCACCUUUUUUAAAAAAAAAUAUGAAAAAUUAAAUAGAAAAAUUAAAUAAAAUGUUAAAAAAUAGUAUUUUAUGAUAUCAUUGAUAGCAAAAGAUAAAGAAAUUGAAUAAUAAAAUACAAUAUAAUAUAAUUAAAUAAAAUGUGAAAAAAUAAAUAAAUUGAAAAUUAAAAAAAUAGUAUUUCAUGUUUAACGUCAGUUGUUGCACGUCUGAAGUCCCGGUUGUAUGUUUGACGUUAGCUAUUGCAUGUCUUGAAUAAGUUAUAUAUUUGGCAUGAAGUGUUGUAAGUUUCAUGUUUAACGUCAGUUGUUGCAUGUCCGACGUCGGAAUUGCAUGUUUGACGUUAGUUAUUACAUGUUUUGGAUAAAGCCAAAAUAACGAAUAUUCUUGAAUAUUCUCGGCCGUUUCAUGUUUGACGUCAACGUUGCAAAUUUUACGUGAUCAGUUAUAUAUUUGGCAUGAAGUGUUGCAAGUUUCAUGUUUAACGUCAGUUGUUGCAUGUCCGACGUCGGGAUUGCAUGUUUGACAUUAGUUGUUGCAUGUUUUGGAUAAAGCCAAAAUAAAGAAUAUUCUCGAAUAUUCUUGGCCGUUUCAUGUUUAAUAUCAACAUUGUAAAUUUUACGUUAUAAGUUGUAUAUUUGGCGUGAAGUGUUGCAAGUUUCAUGUUUAACGUUAGUUGUUACAUUUCCGACGUCGCGAUUGCAUGUUUGACGUUAUAAGUUGUAUAUUUGGCGUGAAGUGUUGCAAGUUUCAUGUUUAACGUUAGUUGUUACAUUUCCGACGUCACGAUUGCAUGUUUGACGUUAGUUGUUGCAUGUUUUGGAAAAAGCCAAAAUAAAGAAUAUUCUUGAAUAUUCUUGAAUAUUCUCGGUUGUUUCAUGUUUGAAGUUAACGUUGCAAAUUUUACGUGUUCAGUUGUAUAUUUGGCGUGAAGUAUUGCAAGUUUCAUGUUUAACGUCUGUUGUUACAUAUCCGACGUUGGGAUUGCAUGUUUGACGUUAAUUGUUGCAUGUUUUGGAUAAAGCCAUAAUAAAGAAUAUUUUUGAAUAUUCUCGGCCGUUUCAUGUUUGACGUCAACGUUGCAAAUUUUACGUGAUCAGUUAUAUAUUUGGCAUGAAGUGUUGCAAGUUUUAUGUUUAACGUCAGUUGUUGCAUUUCCGACGUCGCGAUUGCAUGUUUGACGUUAGUUGUUGCAUGUUUUGGAUAAAGCCAAAAUAAAGAAUAUUCUCGGUUGUUUCAUGUUUGACGUCAACGUUGAAAAUUUUACGUGAUCAAUUGUAUAUUUGGCGUGAAGUGUUGCAAAUUUCAUGUUUAACGUCAGUUGUUGCAUUUCCGACGUCGCGAUUGCAUGUUUGACGUUAGUUGUUGCAUGUCUUGGAUAAAGCCAAAAUAACUAAUAUUCUCAAAUAUUCUCGGCCGUUUCAUGUUUGACGUCAACGUUGCAAACUUUACGUGAUAAGUUGUAUAUUUCGCGUGAAGUAUUGUAAGUUUCAUGUUUAACGUUUUUUGUUGCAUGUUGGGCCGCCCUGGUUUCAUGUUUGAUGUUUAUUGAAAUACAAGUUGUGCAACCCAAGAGGGGGGUGAAUUGGUAUUUUAAAACUUAUCCUAACAAAUAUCCAAUCUAAAGCCUUAGUAAAUUUGAAAGCAAUAAAUUUGAUAAAAACACAAUAAAGGAAAAGAAAAACAAACACACGAAUUUUUUGUGAUAAGCGGCAUACCGUUUAUGAAAUCCGGUAAGAAUGGAUGGGGAAUACGUUUAAGAGGAAGAAAUCUAGAGAGAGAAAAUUUCAGUUCAAACCCUAGAUUUGAUUUCGGAUCUAGUGAUGUUGAGGUUGAAACUGGAUUUGAAAGAUAAUUUUGGACACAAGAAUGGAUGGGGAAUAAGUUUUACGAAUCGAUUGGAAUCGAAAACGAGUGGAACUGAAGGAUUUUGGCGUGAGAUAGAGAGAGGAAAAAUCGGUUUUUAGAGAGAGAGUAGUUUCUAGAUUGCCGAAAGAAGAAGGAAGAAGAAGAAAUAGUUGGUGUAUCGCGAAACCGGCUAACCGUUUGUCACUAACCAGUUAGUCGGUUAGUGUCCAGAAGCACACUGGACGCAACCGGCUAACCGGUUUCCGCUAACUGGUUAGCCGGUUAGCAUUCAAAACCACACUGGACGCAACCGGUUAACCGAUUUUCACUAACCGAUUAGCCGGUUAGCGUCCAGUGAGGGAAGCUUGAAAUCGGCAAACUAAUUGUCACUAACUGGUUAGCCGGUUGAGUGUAGUUUGAUUCUGGACGCUAAUCGGCUAACCGGUUAGUGGAAACUAGUUAGCCGGUUGCGUCCCGAAUCAUAUUCUGCUCGAAACCGGCUUACCGGUUUAAUUAUCCGAUUGUCCAGAUAGUUCCCAGAAAUUUUGAAAAUGGAUUCGGCUUUCCGGUUAUUAUUACCGGUGGACCGGAUCUUGUCCAAAAAUAUUUCGUUAUCACGUUAGUCAUUUAAAAUUAGCACGUUUGGUUGGUUAGGUUUGCAAUAAAUAUGAUGAAAACAAAACUCACAUUCCCUCUAUUAAUGAGGGAUUAUUCUAAGGCUAAAGUCCAAGACUUCUUCACAAAAAACACACUCACUCCAAAUGCUAUGUUCUAAAAUCUUGUUGAACAUCUCUGGAACAGGGGUUUUCCACUUUUCAUGAGUCAAGUUUCUCUCCAACAAAGGUAUGUGCUGUAAUAGAAGUAGUAGAUUUGUGAGCUCAUAGACGGUUUCAUAUUUAUUAUUAUAUUAAAUUAUUAAGAUAAAGGUUGUAACUUAUGUUAUUAACAAAAUUUUGGUUGAACAUGGGUUAAAUAUGAGCAGCCCACAUAAUAAUAGCAACCUAGGAAUAUCCAUUGCUCCAAAGGUUGGUCUACAUGCAUCAGACGUUUUUGGCAGUCAUUUCGACUGAGUAGUGGAUGCAGAACAGUGGUAUACCAAUUAUGCCCGAAUGAUUGGUUUUGGUGUUAGGAAAGAUGAUAUGCGGCGCGGACAAAAGUCUGGAAGAAUCACAAUUGGAUGUUGGGUUUGUCAUUUCAAAGGGCCAAGAGAUGAAAGACAAUCUCAAAACUGCAGUAGGGUGCGAGAACCACGACCUAUAACACAAACCGGGUGUCGGGUCUCAUUUUGAGUGAAUUACGAUGAAUCAGUUGGUAAAUACAUCGUCAAAGAAUUCAGGCCUGAGCACAACCAUCCUUUGGCUUCUGAUAAUGAAGUUCAUCUCAUUCCUUCACAUCGAAAAGGUUACUGAUGCAGAGCUUGCGCAAGCAAAGGCAUUAAGGCAUGUUGGUGUGAAGACUUUCCAAUUCAUAGAUUACAUGGCUGAUCAGGUAGAAGGGCCUCAAAACCUAAGGUUCACACGCAAAGACAUGCAAAACACGCUAGAUGCUUCCACUCGUGCCGUGGUUGGAGAUUCUGACUUAGACACAACUAUAACAUACUUUGCGGCAAAAUCUGAACAUGACCCUAGACUCUGCUUUUUUAGUACAUACUAAAUAAUGAAAAUAGACUACGAAAUUUGUUUUGGGCUGAUUGUGUAGCUCGUUAUGACUGUCAGUGUUUUGGUGAUGUGUUGGCAUUCGAUGCAACAUAUAAGACUAAUGCAUAUCAUAAACCCCUCGUUACACUUGUCAGAACAACGAUUUUUGGUUUUGCUUUACUCGCAGAUGAGACAAUUGACUCAUACACGUGGCUGCUGCAAACUUUCCUCUCCACUAUGGGCAACCGAAAGCCCGUGUUUGUAAUUACUGAUGGUGACAAGGCAAUGUCGAAGGCAAUAAAGACAAUGUUUACCGGGUGCAUCCAUCGUCUUUGUUGUUGACAUCUCGAGCGCAAUGCACAAGCUAAUUUGAAGAACGAAGACUUUAUGAUAAAAUUUCAUGAUUUGAUGUUGACACCUAUGACGGUAGUUGAAUUUGAAACCCAAUGGUCAGCUGUAGUGGCUGAAUUCGCACUUAAACAUCAUGCAUGGGUACAGAAAAUGUAUUCAAAGCGGUGCAAUUGGGCGGAAGCUUAUCUUAGAGGAACAUUCUUUGCUAAUAUGCGAAGCACUCAACGAUGUGAAAGUAUAAAUACAUAUCUUAGCCGAUUUGUCCAACAUAAACUAAAAUUGUAUGAGUUUAUGCGACAAAUCGAUCAUGCUCUCUGCAAUAUUCGUGCCACAGAAACAUCUGAUAAGUUCAAAACUAAAUACAGUGCUCUUGUCUUAAGAAUGCACUUAAAUAGCCUGGAGAAACAUGCUGCACAAUUGCUCCCAUUAAGGGUUUUUUCGAAGGUUAGAGAUGAGAUGCAGCGAGAAGGCGCGGUCAUCGAAGUAAAAACUGUCAAAGCUAUCAAUGCUACUUUGUACACAGUCACUGAAUUUGGGACACCAGCAAUAUGGUGGAAUGUCAUCCACAAUCUACAAGAAAACCACAUACAGUGCUCUUGUCAAAUAAUGGAGUCUGUUGGGCUUCCUUGUAGGCAUAUGUUUCAUGUCUUGAAAGUGGAACAAAUUGAAAAGAUUCCUGACAAUAUGGUUCUUCUUAGAUGGACAAAAAAGUCAAGGAGCACAAUACUUGCAGGACUAUAAAACCAGAAGUUGACACCAAUGUUUCAGAGGUGGCUGGAUUUAGUACAUUUUCUGCAGCUUACAAUAAAAUGUGCUACAAUGUAGCAAAAAACGUUGAAGCCUACGAAAAUACCUUGGUGAAAAUCAAUCGGCUAGCAUUAACUUAUGAACAACAAUCUGAACGCAACAGUCUCCCAAAUAAAAAAGUGUGGAUGGGAACAAAAGUUCAUAAUCCUGCAGUUGUAAAGACCAAAGGCGCUAUGUCUAAAGCAAAAUGUAUAGAAGAAAGCACUAGAAAGUGUGGAAAAUGUCGUCAGGUUGGGCAUACAGCACGAACUUGUCAUAUUCAAGGGAAUGAUAGCACCCAACUAAGGUAUGUCCUAAGUUCUUUAUCAUGUGUUUAAUGUUUACAAUAAUUAACUUAAUUAUUGCAUUAUUGGACAUUUCAUUGCAAAUAACUUUCAUGGUAUUGAUUUUAGUGUCGAUGGAAACAAUUUUACCGCAUUCGAUUCAUCGAGCACCCAGAAUCCUGGAGCCUUUGCUGGUGUCAAUCCAACAUUGUUAGCUCAUGCAAGCAACCAAUUUUCUAAUGUUUUCUAUUGGUGACCUCAUUAAACAGUGCCAUUAUAGUGAGUCAAUAUGUAUAACUAUUUGAAUUCCACUAUCAUGUACCAACAUGACAACCAGUUCAGUAUCAAAUGAUGAGAUAUGAACACUAUUAACAUGCAUAUGUUCAUUAUAGUUAAAUAAUGUCUCGACCGAGAAUACAUAACCAUGUCAUAAAUUUAAAGAUAAUUCUCAAUCAAAAUUCAUUUUACAACCAUCGUAAUCAAAAAGAUAAAAAAAGACACAUUAUGACCUCCCAACACGUUUCAAACAACUUACAAUAAAAAAUAGUGUGCAAUCACUUGCAUAAUCAUUCCCUAGUGUGGUUCGAUAUCUAGGUGCGUUCUCGUGUUAACUUUCUUCUUCUUAUGAAUGUUGCCGCUUUGUUGGUGAGAUGACUUUUGCACUUGAGAGGAUACAGGGUUCACCAUUGCAGCAUGAUUCGCAAACUGAGCGUUGCUUAGUUCCAGUAAUUUAUCUCGAUUUUCAUUCAAUGCAUAAUUAAUUAGUUGAAUGGCUAGCCUACCCCAUACAUCCUCAGAUGUGUACUGGUCAAUUUGAAAGGAAAAUAAUAUUACUUUCAUAUAAUUAGUAGCUUUCAUAUAAUUAUGAAGUUACAAAAAUUUUGAGUUCAACUAUUAAACAAGUUUGGCAUAGUCGUACCAAAGUUGACGAUUUCUUCAGAAUAAAUUCUGGGAUGUCCAUAUAGUUUAUCACAUAAACCCCACAAUCAUAUUCAUUCCUUUGCUUUGGAACUCCAAUGCCCCGGUUGAUUGGAAAGUCUUGGAACUUAAAGUGUUGCAUUUGCUUGGUAAUUGGGGCUGCAGAAUCCAAUCCAAGGAAUAUAGUUGUCAACAAUGUUGAAAAUCGGACAAUAUUAUGGAUGUAAAUAUAACACAAUAUACAUAACUGAUAAUGUUAAAUAGAUCACUAAAAAAAGAACAUGAUUAAAAUACAAUGUGCAUGGCUUGAUCGUGUCGUCUUCUAUUACUGCGGGGAUCUGAAAGAGGAUCCCAUAUUUCUGCACUGUAUUUCUGACGUUCACGAUCAGUAGGUACCAAUGAGAUGAUUCAUCAUUUAUUGGCACAUAAAUCUAACAUUUCAAUUGUCAAUGUCAUACACUAAGCACACUAGUAUAAACUGAAAUAAGUAAAAGGUUAAGAAACUAACCUUUUGACACCUAUGCACAUGUUGCAUAUAAUUCUUUCCACAUCUAGCUGCCCUUGCAAAAAAAUUCACCUCAUCUCCGACCAUUAGAACUUCUUGCUACACAUAAUAAAGACAAUGUUGCAUAAGGAAGUUUUCAAUAAAGAAACCAAAACACAAUGUAAAAAGCACCGGCGAGACUCACAGAAUAUCUUGUUGGUAAAUACCAGUUCAUUGCCAUAUCUUUCUCCACCACCUGCUGAAUGAGGGUGAGGUGAUACACUUUCAUAAAAAUCACCUAAAAGUGAUUAUAUUGAUUGAGAUAUAUAAUAACAUAUAAUAAAGGACAAACAUAUAAUGUGACAUCACCAAAUGUUGAAACCUAAUACCUCUCCACAUAGAUAAGCCUCGGGUAAAAGAGUCAAUAAAGAAUGCCGAUUAAGAAUUUUACCGUAACUAGAAACAAUGAUUUCACUAAAGAGAAAACACAGUCAUUUUUUAGUCGUAUAGCAUAACAACCACAUACAGAAAACUAAUUUCAGUCUUCUGAAUUUUACCUUCCGUCAGCCUCUUUGUUAAAAGCAUAUUGAAUAAGCUUCAAUUCUUCGAGCGUAACUGGAUCAUCGACUUGAAAUGGACCAGCUUUAUACUUGGGAUUUGCUCCCCUCGACACUUGAUCGUACGGUUAAAGUUGAUAUUGACCUGGCCUACGAUUCCUACUUGGUCGCGUUGGUAGGACACUGACACUAGUAGAUGUUUGAGGUUCUUACCUAAGUUCAACUGGUUCGUCUAUAUCCUUUAUAAAAAAUAAAUUUAUAUGUAAGUUACUUCAUAAGUGAGUUAUCACCGAAACAAUUUUUAGAAAACGACGUUAUAAAACUGUACCUCAUCUCGGAGAUUAGAUGGUGGAAUAAGGAAAUAACCUGCAACAAAGUGGGUAGGAUCUUUGUGAAAUUCACCGAUUCCUUCUCUUGUCCCAAUCCAGCCCAUUAUUUUACCGAGGCUCAGGUUCAAUCUGUGAUCCACAUAGUCCUCGUCGCUAUCUAUUGCCAUUUUGUUUUUUCCAUCAGUGGUUGGCUCGGUUUUUCCGACUGGACAUGUGGGUUCUACUAUUUUCAAGCUCGGUGAUGGCAGGGAUAGAUCAUAUGGUUGUUUUGAUGGUGCACCAACCGGAGACUUGGAUCUCAAUUCCGCCAAAGACUUCUCAACCAUUUCCAUUCUCACAUUGAACGAAUCCAUUUUGUGUUCAAUUCUCUGGACACACUGUGUUAGCACCCUAAAAGCUUCCUCCAUAUUAACAGUGCUCAUCCCAACAUCUUCGGUUUGUUCAAAAUGAGGGAAAUUUCUUUCAAGCUGCAUAAAAUUUGAUUCACGCAUUGGAACCUAAAAUAAAUAUGCACAACAAUCAUACAUAAUGACAAUCAAAAUAUAUUCAAUUUACCAUAAACAAAAUUAAAUACAUGUGUGAACAAGACAAAAAAUAAAACAAACCUCAGUACUUGUCAUGUCCCCAAACUUUUUCCGCUAAUUCAAUAAGCGUUGAAUCUCUUCCUUGGUCCAUACACUAACAGGACAUACUGUUCUAUCCAUGGAGCACCGAUCAUACAAAACAGCACUAAAGUAAAACAAUUGUUCAUUUAAAAACCAAUGACUACGUCAUUUUAUUUUUCAUAUUUGGCAUUAAUUAUGGCAUCUAAGAUUUCUUAAAUAUACCUCUAAAAACACAACACAACCACUAACUGACUUCACUUGAUGAUCUUUAUACUUCGUUAUACCCUCCCAUAGAAAGUUGAAGCACCAUGUAGCCCAAUUCGUUUUCCUGAUUAACUGCACAUCUUUUAGGGCAUGCAGAUACAUCAGAUUGAUGUAGCUCGCACUUGUGGGACACAAUACAGUUCCUAGAAGAAACAAACAAAACAUGAUCUUAAAGUCAUCAUCACUACUCUCACUAGCUAUCAAUCUUUCACUAACUGCGGCUAUUUCAAUUCUUCUUCCACCCGUUCUAUACUUGGCAUGCAAUUCAAUUAUAUCACCCGCUUCGUCUUAGAUGUAUACGGGUUCCCCUCCAUCUUUGAUCCACAUUACGAUGCUGAAGGUUGUAGGGUUUAAACAAAACUCUCUCCCGUGCAAAACUAUACAAUGCCUCUUUGUAUCACAGUGUUAGACAAGUGUUUCACAGAAGUCUUGUCUCAGGCGACCACAUCGUAAUUGUAGCAUGCUUCCGAACCCAAUUUCUCUAAUUACAGCUUGUUGGUCAGGCGACAGUGUGGAAAUAACCUUAGUGAAUGCGUUGACACGACAACGAGAUAAAUUACAUUGGCUAUGCUUGUCCUCAAUUUUUUGUUCUUCAUCUGUUUUUUUUACGCUCCUUUCACCAAUAUUUGAACUUGGAUCCUCAUGCAUCGUACCAAAUCGACACUUCUCCUCAUUCGUUAAUUUCUUCCAUUUUUCAAUAAUUGUCGCCGUAAAAACUUUUUUUAUCCCUUCUUGCCUGGCCUUUUCUGCUUCAUGCUUACUGUACACAACAUUUUAGUUCAACUAAUUACGUCAACAAAUGAUAGUUAUAAUAAGAACUUUAUUCAAAGCAAUGAUUUUAUACUUACAAAAAGUGUAUCCAUGCUCUCUAACCAGGUCCUCCCCUUCUAGCUUAUGUGUACUCUAUUUUAUAAUUGUAUGCUAUGGUUCAAAUCUUAAAAUAGACCACACAUAAAUGUAGUAUCAAGGCCGGACCCAUAAUAAUGGGUAAGUUCUUACCAAAUUAUUGAGCACCCAUCUUUAGUAUUCCUAGCAAAGAGUGUAGAGCUCAAAACAAGCAAACAACACCUAAAACCAAACAAGAAAAAUUUAGGGUGCAUAUAGAAAAAUAACACUUAAAAACCAAACCUCAAAAAAUCAACCAAAAAAUAGAAAAAAAAAUUGUUUUGAGGGUUUUCUUGCCAAUUUCAUGCUUCCAAGCCAUUAAUCAUCUCUUCAACAUCAAUUUUUCAUCAUCUAAAUAUCUUUUUUCACUCAAAAUUACCAAACUUCUAAUUGUUUCAAAUCUCUAAUUAUUUCACACAACAUUUAUAGUACAUCACAAAAACCACAAAGGUCAAAAUUACCUCCUCACUUUGCCGUUAACUCGAAAAUGAAAAAGAAAGAGAGGAAAUUGUGUUCAACUUCAACCCCUCAGGAUGACAGUGACUGCUUGAUGGAUUCCACUUGUUAUUUGCUUUGAACGAGAUGGAGUCUUCGAUCUUGCGUGAUUACUAAACAAAUCGAAGAGAGAAAUUAGAGAGAAAUUUGUGAUUUCAAAGAGAGGUGCCUGAGAUUGGGAAUGGCGUGGGUGAAACCGUGAAAGAGCAAAGUUUACUUUUACAACCUUUGGGAACCGGUUUAACAGGUUAACCAUUUUUCUCUUUUUUAAUUUCUUUUCAAUCUCAGCUGUUGGAUUCAUUUUACUUGAAUCCAAUGGCUGCAUUUACAAGCCAGCAUAAUGCCGGGCAUUGAGGCCCGGCAUUGUAGCUUUGCCCAUUUAGUAUCAUUUUGCACUCAUGAUUUUUCGUUUUAAAAAACAGGAAAAAAAGGUUUGGUAAGAGCUACUUAGUGUAGCAUUUUUGUUUUGUUUUGAGAACAAGUACAACUUCGUCCUUUAACUUCAUGAAAGAAAAUAUAAAGACAUAAAAUUUAUGUUUUAUGUUUAUAGUACUUAGUAAACAAGUCCAGCAUUUACUUUUUAACAUUUUAGCAAUAAUUAAAUACAAAAUUUAACGAGUCUAUCACCUUAAUCUAGAUGCAUUUGUCUUUGUUUUAAUUUUUUUUAAAAUUUCACCUAAUCAUCCUGUUUUACGUCUUUUGUUACUUUACAUGAGCAAAUUUAUUUUUACUAUUUUAAAUUUUGUUUAUUUGUUUUAUAUAAGAAAAAAGAUGCACAAAUACCUUUUGAAAAAUAAUACUAACCAUUUUUUUGUUUCCCACUUUUAGGAAGAAGGAAUAAGAAAUGAAAACUAUUUAUUCGGAACAGAUUUCAUACACUACUAAAAACAAAUCAUAUUAAGUUUUUUGCUUUUUCUAUAUUUGAAAAACGAAAAAGGCUAGUUUCAAAAUGGUAAACAGUGGCCAAAUCGGUCCAAAAGUCGAAACAUACAAUAGUUUAAAAUAUUUUAAAGCAAGUGAUUUCUUUUUGGUUGGAUCCAAGACCAAUUGAACCGGUAAACUUAUCUGUUUUUACAUUAAAAAGAAAAAGAAAAAGAAAGGUUUAAAAUCGCAUAUUUGAUUUCAAACCAAGAAAUGAAGGUGCUAUUGGCUUGUAGACUCAAUAUCUGGACAGUGGUCUAAGCAAAUAAGCCUCCGCACAAGCUCAUGGCGAAAAGGUUGAUGUCCAACAACAAGAGGUCCCCGAAGCAGCAAACAGCUCAACUUCGCCACGAAUAGAUCAAAAGCACAGCCCGUUUGCUCUAAGGAUAAAAGAUUUAUUGCUAAUAGUCAAUCUAGUGUCAGUAAGGGGGCCGAAAAUGUGGCAAACAGUCGAUCGAACAUUUACGAGAGAAGCUCAAUGCUAAGAGAUCUCCUUAGAAUGGGAAGGGUUUCUCCAGAAAUCAUAAGAUACCUAAAGAAAUUCUUGACAAGAUUUCUAUUCUAGAGGAACAAGUUUGAAAACUGACCGAGAAAGAAAUCUCCAUCGCUAAGGAUCAAGCGCUGAUCGUUUGUUAGUGUCAUUCACGAAGGAAAUUCGCCAAGCAGCUCUCCUAACCGACUUCAAAAUAUCUCAGAUUCCAUAAUAUGGGUGUAUCUUUGACCCCACCGAGCAUGCUGAGUUAUAUUGGGAGUAGUUGCUUAUAAAAAGAGUUGGGAAAAAAGUUGUGUGCCGCAUGUUCACCCAUAUCCUCAUGGGCCAGCCAAGUCUUGGUUUCAAUCUCUAAAGCUAGGGAGUAUAGCUAACAUACAACAACUGCUCUCUAAAUUCAUUCAAGAGUUCAGCUAUGCCUGUCACCAAGAUAAGUCCUCUUAUAAGCUAGCUUUUAUCAAGUAAGGGGAGACGAUGUUACCAAUAUUUUGUUUAACUGUUUUCACCAAAAGGUUCUCCAUACUGGAGCCUUAGAUCAUGAGACGAUGCUAGCCCAUUUUACAAAGAACUGUUGCGGAAGUGCGGGUUGAGUAAUUACUGAUAUUACGGUGACUGCAAUUUUUAGAGAAAUAUAAAUAUGAUGUAAACAAAUGUAAAAACAAAAAAAGACACAAUAAUUUUACAUGGUUCGGCCUAAAGCCUACAUUUACGGGCAAAAACUGGAAAAUAAUUUUACUAAUAAUGGGACUUUACAAAAGUUGAAAAACUCUAAAAAAUUCAAUACCCAAUACACCCAAAUUCCCUUAGUACCUAAGGAAAUUCUCUACCAAAACUCACUUGGAAUGAGCUUUGAUCUCACAAAUUUGGAUGCUCAAACAAAUGAAGAAUUACCUUCUGUUUAUAAGAAAAAUAGGAUGCAUUAUUGCACCAACCCCAAUAAUUUUGUCAACAAAAAUUAGGUGCCUACCUUAGUAAUUUGUCUUCAAAUUUCCCUCUCCAAUGUUGAAUGCAUGCAUGAGUAUGCAAGUUGGUCAAUUGAUGCAUUCGCCAAUUUUGAAUACAUGUAUUUGAAUUAUGUAUUGAAUUUUUCAACAAGAACCUACAACAAGAGAAGCUAUGGAGGCCCCCUCGAAAAGUUGAAUCGCUAAUAUAUAGGAAGGCUAGGACAAAGGAUUUACAAUAGAUUGAGUACAAAGAUAAGUGUCAGUUUAAACUCCAGUAGGAUAAACUUGACACAAUAAAGAGUGAGGAUUCCCCGAUGAAGCCAAAGGCACACUUCAUCGAGGCACUUCAAUUACGCUAACCCAACAAUUACGAGGGCAAUGUACCACCAAUAUGUUCCAAGAAUCCCUCAUAGAACACCGUGAGAGAGAAAAGCCACAAGAAAAGUCAUGAUGUCUCCUAUCAUCCUUUGAAAAAAUCCCCAGAGUAGAUUUUUUUCCACACCCGCGAUAGUGGUCUCUUAAGGCCACCUCGAUCGAUAAAAAAAUAACCUAACAUGAUGAGAAGCUUUAAGUAUUGUAGGCUCUAUGAAGACUUCCAUCAUCGAACCGUAAAGUAUUUUCAAUUGCAAGAAGAAAUAGAGGUGUUGAUUAUUAAUAAGUAUUUAAACGAGUUUGUUGUUAGAAUGAGAGAUGACAAAAAAUCCAUAGAAAAGGAAAAAAAGGAAAGAACUUUGAAGGGGGAAUGCUAAAGAAGGAAAGCCUUGCGGUUCUAAGAAGUGUACUUAUGUGGGUAUAAUAACAGGAGGUCUUACUCUUACCAGUGGUUCCAAAAGAUUAAUCAAAACCUACAGGAGGAGAAUUGUCAAUAGUAAAGAGGUUAACAUGGUCAAUUGAAGUUUACCUCUCAUAACUCCCCACUUAACUCCAAUCAUAUUCAUCAAAUAAUAUGUAGAGAAUCUGGUUUAUCCACAUGAUAAUGCCCUGGUGAUCACAUUCAAAAUUAUAACAGACAAGUAUCUCGAACGUUAAUCAAUUCUAGAAGUUCGGUGGAUAUUAUCUUCAAAGAUGCAUUGGAUCAGAUAACCCAAAGUUUACAACAUUAUUUUGGGCCGAUCAUUAAUGGUAACUACUAAAGCAGCUAUUUCUAUACAUUACCUUGCUAUGAAAAUACCAACAUUAAAAUUUGUUCAUCAUGAUCAAAGAGCUUUUCACUUUUGCAAAUAAUGAUAGACUAAUUAACCAACUUGUUAUUGUCAAGCCUAGUUGUUCUCUUCGUUGAAUCAUUGAUGUACUCACUAUUUUGUUUUUCUAUUCUCUCCGCAUCUUGCACCAUAUUAUUGGAGGGUAUGUCUGGUGCCAUCAUUAUGUGAACACACUCAAUGAUUUGUUUGGUAACUACUGUGGAGGCUUUUUAUACACUCCCAACCCAGAUGGCACAAAUUGUUCUAACUAGAUUUUAGAUAAAGAGAGAAGUUUAGCUAAACACAAUAAAUUUGUAAAUCAGGGGAUUGUGGUGCUUAGUGUAAUCGAGUUGUGUUGUCUUCUGUGAUGCUUGAGAAAGAGUGAAAAUAAUAAGGCUGCUAAGAAGGGUUGGAUCUAGUGAGAAACGAUGUUAGGAGCUAAGUUUAUCAUGCAAAAAAUAGAGAAAAGAGGUUAAAGGUGAGCCAUCAGUGGCUAGCAAUCACACUCCAAAGCUCAAAUUAGUUUUGGGGUUAUUUUGAGAGUCAGCUCUCAAUAAGGGCAUUGGAAGAACAUAGAAGAAAAGUCUUGGCCUUUUUUUUUAUAGUCCUUAAAAUAGCUUAGUUAGAAAGAGAAAAUCUAGGCGUCUUUAUAUAUAAUGCCCUAGGGUAUUCAUACCACCAUGGCACUUGGCGCAAUUUCAUUAGCACUUUCUCUUUCUGUAUAAUGAUAUACUUGUCCUUUGGUACUCGUGACAAUUUCGACCUAUGAAGCAUGCUUAGAGAAUAAAUUGGCUCAUCAUAUACGUAACUUAUCCACAAAUACAUGUGUUCAAAUCUAUUAGAUGGUCCAACAUACCUUUGUAAAGGCUAUUCUAAAUUAUUAGUGUGUGAGAUGAGGACAAAUGAUCUUAACUGUUUUGGUGAGUUUUUUUUUUUUUUUGGCUUUUUGUAUGCAUGACAGCUUGCUGUACUCUCUUUUACAAAAUAUAUCUCUUUAUUGAUUCCAUAUUUUCAGCGGAGGAAUCAAUAUUCUUUUUUGUCAUAAUAUCACUUCACAUACUAGACAUUUUGGAUAUUUUCUAUAGCUUUUUCCUUCCUUCAUAUGUUGAAAUCUGCAUACAAUUUUAAUCUCCUCUCAGUGACUUUUCCAUUGUUAAGUAUUAUUGACAUGUGGCAUUUUCCUAUUAGCCUUCUAUUUCUUUCCUAAACAAGAUUCGCUGGAUUUUAUGGCAAAAGUAAAUGACAUGUGGCCAUAUCUAACGGUCCUUCAUUGAUGGCUAAUUAGGGAGGGGGUAUCUUACUUCCCUCUUUUUAAGUUAGUUGCACGAGUUCCUAUGCUUGGGAAAUUGUCUCUAUGUUGUAAGUAGUAACUGUCUUAGAUUCGUAAGCAAUAGGCCUUGGGGUAUGCACACAUAGGUUAUCUUUUGGCACAUGUCUCCUUCAUUUUUUCUUCUCUCUUUCUCGUUUUUUUUUUUUAACAACAUUCUUUGUGAGGCCAAGUUCUUUGGAAUGAGGGGAAGUAGGAUAACCAUUCAAUCUUUUUUUUUCUCUUCCAUUUUAAAUUUUAAAAUAGAACACGCUUCUCAACUAUCAAGUAUGUAUCUGCUUCGACUUCUCUUUCUUUUUUCUAAAUUUUGAAAUAAGCCGGGUUUCUUCAACUACUAAUAUACAUUCCCCAUUUCUCUUCUUUUUGCUUAAGAUAGGUGGUAUUGUGGUAGUUCUUACUUUCCUCUAACCCGACUGCAUAAUCCCUACUUUUAAUUACUUGUCCCUUUCUCACUAUAUCCAUUUUUUUUCUCUAUUGAAAUCUUCAAAAUUUUCUCAAUUCUAGUGCUUUUUUGUAGCGAUCUCAGUUCCUCUUCUUGGUGUCUGUCAGGUUUGUGUAGCUCCUUUAUCUAUUUUAUUCAUUUCUUUUUCCGUUUCACACGCUUUUUUUUUUAGUUUCUUUAGUGAUUUUAUUUCCUCUUUUUUGUGGCAACUAUUGUCAAUUACUUUUAAAUUGGGAUUUUGGCACUUGGAUCUUACUUUUUAAAGAAUCUCAGGUAUAUUCUUUACUCUUUUUUUAUCUCAUGUGUAUAUGCUUGGCUAUAAUGGCACCCUAAGAUUGAUAGAAGAAAGGAUGUUGCACUUGGUCUUAAUACGUUGUAGAUCUUACGGGGUAGCCCUCUUACCCUUAUAUAGAGGUUAUUGAGGAUGAGGGGUCUUCCUCGAGUAGUUCAGAGAGUAAUAGUCAUGACCUUGAGUCCUCCUUUGGUAUAGGUGUAGGUUAUAGUAGUCUUCGGGUUUCUCAUAUGGUUUCUCAUUCUCAAAGGGCUAAGUCUAAAGGUAAACUCCUUAUUAGUCAAUCCAAAGUGAAUGCCAAAACAUAGAUCCCAAUCCAUAUCCUUAAAUUUCCUUCUCUCUCUGCUUCUAAAUCUAACAAAUCUCACUCUUUAAGUGGUAAGAGGGCUACCCCGUAAGAUCUACAACGUAUUAAGACCAAGUGCAACAUCCUUUCUUCUAUCAAUCUUAGGGUGCCCAAUAAGAAUGAAACCUUAGAUUUCCCUAGGAUAAAUGAGAUAACUCUUUAUAUUAACCUUAUAUUUCCUUAAGAUAGAUGAGAUAAUUCUCCAUAUUAACUUUUUUGCCUAGGACUUCGCCUACCCCUCCAGUCACUUUCUCAGAACAAUGUUUAGCCACUUCUGCAUUGUCUUAGGACAAUUAUUCUUACUUGGAUGGAAAGUUCUUACUGUCCUUCAGAUGUUAUGACUAGAACUGUCUGAGAGAGAUAUUUUUCUUUGAGAGUUUAGAGGGCUUUAUCAACUGAAGAAGUCCAAUAUCCGCAACUUAUUUUUCUACUUGGGCCACCCACAGUAACCUAGUGGAAAUGGACCUACCUUAAAAAAGGGUAUAAACAUUGUUGGUUUGUGGCCGAUAAUAAGUGGGAGUGGGAUACACUAUCUGAUGGCAAGAAUGUGAGGGCAAAAGCUCAUUCAAUGAAGACAGAAUGUCCUUCCUUUCUUUUCUUUCUCUUUUGUCCUGGAUUACUUAUUUAGAGUGUUCCUCCAAUGCAUGGCUCCUUGUGACCUUGUAGAUGUUACAUGGAUCAAGGAAAAAAAGUCUUAUUCAGGAGGUGGGCAAAGAAGUGAGUGCUUAUGAAGAGUGGAUUUUGGUUUCACAAAAAUAGAGUGACGUCUUGAGUGAGGAAAGAUUAGAAAACCUAGGUUGAUCGAUGAGAGCUCUUUGUCUGCCUUUGAAGAUAAGUCACUUUGAGUGCAAAGUGUUUUAUUUACCUCGUUGUCUCUCGUGCUUUGUAUUUAUAAUUUAUGUGUUUCUUACUCUUCUUUUUUUGUUUCUGUUUAUAGGACUUCAGUGUUUGCUUAGCUGACCUUUUCUUAUUUGGGUGCAUGAUGUUUAGCAGAUGUGAGCCCAUUUACUGAGGAUUUUGACCUUUUUUAAAAAUUAAAUGAUGGGUCGCUCAUCUGAUGGUUUGGGUACCACUCCUCUCGCUAAGGGUACCCGACUCUUCACUAUUGUAGAGUAAUAACUAGAGAGUAAGAACUAAAUCAAAAGGCAUCUUCCCCAGCAGCUUCAGGGGCACCUUAUCUCCUCACUUUCCUGGAGUAACAACUACGUGACAGGGUGCCUCCUUUAACAACUUCACCCAAAAAAAAAAAAUUAAGGUCCUUCUACUCUCUUCCUAGGGAUUUUGCUAAAGGAGAACUGGAUCUAGUGGCAAAUAAAAAUGUCUUGCCCUUGGCUAGGUUUAUGCACUACACCAUCAAGAACAUACCCUAAAGUGACUGCAGUAAGGACGGAUAGGUUAGACUUGAGCGAACGCUAUAGUCAAGUCUCAAAGCCUAUUAAAAUAUGAAUGGAUUUGUAAUUCUAGCUCUAUCUUGUUGGUUGUAGAUAACUUUUUUUCUUGAGUCAUAUCUUCCAAGAUUCCAUAGCUGCCCCCAAUGCUCAAGCGAUCGUGGUAAAGUUAUAAGGUAAAAUCCAAAACCACAAGUUGUAUGAAGAGAAGCCUGCUUAGGAAAAUAAAGCCUUGAAGGGAUGCCUCGAUGAACUGUUUGAGGAGCAAACUUAGGUGACUAAAGAUCUUGAAAUGCUGCAGACCAAGUAUGAAGGUAUAUUGUCUAGGUAAAAGAAACGCAUAAUGGUCGAAGUAUAGGGUACAGAUCCGGUGCUAACAGUGCUUAGGAUAGUAGACAAAUCAAUUAUCAUAGCAACAAUCGAGGUCAUUAAGGGUCCUGUACAUCCCAAUCCAGCAGUCCACAGAGGUCACCUGGUGUAUAUGGUAUACCCCAACUAAAGCUCCCAUUAAAUGUUUCUGCUACUAAAGCUCACGCCUAUGCCACCUCUACAACCUUUGCUGAUCCCCCCAUCUAAAAAAAUGGUGAAGAAGAUGAUUUGUCUGUUGUGCAACUGUGUUUUGCAUAACUUUUCAUCUGCUAACACUCUUUUAAUUGUAUAUGAAACUCGUAGUCUACAUUCAUGCUAUGCUUUUCCAUUUGGUGCACCUGACUUAUCUUUUUAUGCAAAGUUGUCCCAACAUUCUUGUUUUCAUUUGUAUUUGACUUUAAUAAUAAGUUUAAUUUGACAUCUAGUUGGUUAUAUCGUCUUUAGCUUUGAGUAUGGAUGUUUGGCUAAGUAGGUAUUUUGGGGAUCUUUCGAGUAUCUUUAAUGUACUUGGAAGAUAUUCCCAUAACACCAGGUACCAAAGGUCUACAUUAGCUUAUACAUCUAUUGAGCUGCUGCUUCUUUGAAGAUCAAACAACUUAAUUACAUCAUACACAUGGCAAUUUAUUAAGGCAUGCUUGCUGUUUAUCUUUAAGAAAUCAUAGUGAAUUUCAACACACCAAUCAAUAACCAAAGUAUCAUCAUGAUAAUUUGAUUAAGCAUGAGAAUUCACAAUUGGCGUAAUAAUUAUGGUGAAUAGAUUCAUUUGUUGCUCUUCUUGAGCUUUUUUUGGGACCCUUUUAGCCCUUUUCAAAUGGGUAAAAAUAUCUUGUUUUGCUACUUGUUUUAAAUUAAAUAAAAAGAGUAAAUAGCAUUAAGGAUGGUUAUUUGCAGCUCUUUUAUUAUAUACUUCCAGCUCUUUUGGUUCUCAUUUAUUUUUUAAUUGUUUAUCUCUUACUUUUCACAAGCAAGAGAACGAAGAGUGUGGGCAUGUGCAUACCUUAACAGACCUUAUUGUUGCGGACCGCCCAAUUCGCUAGCCCAAUUGCCCACAAUUUCGGGCUAGAGAGCCAACACAAGGCCAAGAGUGCUAGCUUGGCCCAAUUCCGGAAGGUUCUAGGCAACUCUAGCACAUGUGAACAUGUAAAUAUUCUAGAAUACUUUAUACAAUUCCAGCACAUGUAAAUAGCUAGGAAAUUGUAUAAUAUUCUAGAGUUUGGCCAAGUUUGACAAAGUUAGGCAAAGUUAGGCAAAGUUAGGCAAAGCCUCCCCUAUAAAUAUGGGAUGGCAUUAGGCAUUUGUAUCCAACAAGCAUUGUAAGCAACUCAAGCAUUGUAUUCUCUCUUUGUGCAAUACAAGUUUUCUUCUUUGCCUCAAUUGCUCUCUUCUCUAGUUCGAGAAGCUCUAGGCUUACUUAGCAACAUUCGGCAAAGUUGUCUAAGUGCCGCACGGGUUAGCUGCGCAAAACACUCAUCCCGUGACAUUAUGAUGUUAGUAUAUGAUUGCUUACUUUGCCUUUGAUUCUCCUUCGACCCACUUUCUUCCUUAAAAUAAUUAUUUUUUUAUAGUCUCUUCGAAAGGCUGCUUAUUAUUCCUUUAUAUUAUUUUUGCUAGCCCUAAAAUCGAGUAGAUCAUCAUGAUUAGGACAGGUCAAGUAUCCCAACUUACUCUAUAAUAAUGUAAUUGCUUCACAUUAAAUUGCAUCAAAAUAAACAUUGUAUAACAAUAGACAUAGAGAUAAACUAAUGCAAAUGUAUGUAAACUGAACAGUAUCUCAAAUCAUUCAUCCACAUUCCAUAAUUGAAAAAUGAGUGAAAAGAGCACAUGUCUUACAUUCUAGAAAGGAAAUGUAUUCAUAGGUAACAACAGCAUGAAUUAUUAUAUGACGUAGCUUUGGUCAACCUAAUUAGAAGAAGUGAUCAUAAGAUCUCCCAUUCUAUUACCAAAGACUUAGAAAAUUAAAAAGUACAACUGACCAUCGCAGGGAUACCUUGGGUCCCCCCAAGGCCUAUGACAGGUUACAAACAUAUAAAUAUCAAAAGAAAUAAAUAACAUAAACAGAAGAAGGUAGAACACAGUUCGGAUGCUAGUACUGUUUUCCCAGAAUGGCUACAUUCCAUGGGUGCUUCACUGUCGUCCUAUCGAUGUAAAGUAACCUACAGACUCUAUUUCCAAUCGACUUAUCCAUAUGGUAUGACCCUACUCAAUUUGGCCCAACCGAGGCUUCAAAGGGUACCCAAGUGUUUUAAGUCAUCUUUCGUAGAGCCAAAUAGUUUUUUUUUUUUUUAAUGAUCUAAGGCAUAACUUUUUGUCAUAUAUACUCGAGAUGCCAUGCCAGUAUACUACUAUCCUCAACUCUGCUUUUAUGACCAAGUUAAUGGAUGAUAAGAUUUAUACUAUGGAUUUGUGGCUGUUUUUAUUGUUUUGGCUGGAUGACUUAACAAAGGGCGGUACCUUGGGUGCUCUAAGGGGUGUUAUAACCUUAACUGUGUGUGGUUGGGUGUAGUGAGCUACAUACUUAAGGUACCUUUAGUAAAGAUACCUCAUCUUCUUAGGUUUCUCCUUACUUUUUAUGACUUCCACCUUGUCUACCUGUUUUUUUUAAUAACAUUUCUCACCCUUCUCAAUUUAUUGCAAAGUCUCGAGCGAGAUACCUAUCUAAUAAAAGGCGAUGCUUUUGAAAAGACCGUCAUAACUUUCCUACUAGCAAAUUUUUAUCAAAGUGAGUUAACGUAUACACAUGACCAAGAACACCAAUUUGCAACACUUAUUAGCAUAAACGAUAAUUACCGAAAGAUUUUGACUCCCCUUGGUUAAUGAAAUCAAGUUUAGAAGAUGCCUUAUCUUGAAAGAAAACAUAAUAAAAUUAUGAACAAAUUUCGUUAACAACUAGUUUAAUGAGUAUGUGCUACUUGCCUUCAAAGAUUUGAACUAUAACUUGUCAAGGCUGGUGAGGAUGUGUGCAAACAUCCUAGACAUAUCGUUCUCUUAAGCACCUAUAUCGCUUAGCAUGCUCGUUUAGAUCUUUGGUACCCAAAUAUUGGGGUUUCGAAGGCUGAGGCAUAUUGAAUGUCUUUGAAAAUGUUGUUGUCCGUAUAUCCAAGAUGAAGAAUGGCAAGUUGUAUACCACUAAUAUUGAGCAUCGGUGGCAUUAUUCUUCUCAAAGAGGAGUUUUACGAUAUUCCAUUUUUUCCAAGAGCUUGCAGGGUAUCCCAACUAUACCUAAAGAAGUCGCGAUCAUUUCAGAAGAUCUUUUAUCAUCCAAUUUGUCAUAGGUUCUCGUGGGCUCAUUUUGCACGCUUGUGCCUUAGCUACUGUAUAAGUGGCUAGAGGUUGUACAGUGAUCAUCCCUAGAGCCCAUAAGUUGAAACUUGGAUUGGGUACUAGAUGACCUGUUCUUUGGCUUGCCUCAUUAUGUAACUCCAAACGUGGGAUGAUUUGUUUUUCAGCUCAUGUUGGGGAGUUUCUUGAAUUGUGGGCUUUCAGCUUUAGUACCCGAGAACCCAUUACUUACCAACUUGCCCUUGUCAAGCCUAGUUGUUUUCCUUAUUGAAUCAUUGAUAUACUCUGCAUCUUGCACCAUAUCAUCAAAGGUUACGUCUGGUGCCAUCUUUAUGUGAACGCACUCAACAAUAGUUUGGCAAUUGUUGUGGAGGCUUUUUGUAUGCCCCUCACCUAGACGACACCAAUUCUUUUAACAAGAUUUUAAACAAAGAGAGAAACCUAACUAAACACAAUAAAUUUAUAAAUGAGAGGAUUGUGGUGCCUAGUGUAAUCAAGAUGUAUUGCCUUUUAUAAAGCUUGAGAAAGAGUGGAAAUAAUGACGUUGCUAGGAAGGGUUUGGUGUUGUUUUGAGAGUCAAGUCCGCAAUGGUGUUGGCUCAAGGUAGAAGAAGAGCCUUCACCUUUUUUUUUUUUAAUGUUUAGUGCUUAAAAUUGCUUAGUUAGAAAGAGAAAACCUGAGCAUCUUUAUAUGUAGUGCCCUGAGAUAUUCCGGUCAUCAUGCCACUUGCGUAAUUUCAUUGGCACUUUCCUCUCUUUGCACAAGGAUAUUCUUGUCCUUUAGCAUUUGUGACAGUUUGCACGUAUAGAGCAUGCUUGGAGAAUAAGUUAGCAUCAUUUACACAAUUUGUCCAUAUACACGUGUUGGAAUAUGCUAAGUGGUACAGUAUGCCUCUGCAGAGGGUAUAUGCGAUUGCUUGAGUGUCAGAUAAGGACAAAUGAUACCAAUUAUUUUGAUGAGCCAUUUUUUGGCUUUUUGUAAGCUUGAUGAGCCAUUAUUUUGAUGCUCCCUCUUUUUCAAUCAAAUAUCUCCUAAUCAGUUCCUCAUUUUUAGCUAAGGAAUCACUGUUCAUUUUAACGAUAAUGACAUUUCACGUGCCAAAUAUUUUGGAUAUUUUCUCUAGCCUUUUAUGCCCUUGAUAUGGUGAAAGUCGAAUGCCAUUGUGAUAUUUACUAUACUCGUUAUAAGCCAACCUCCUUGUGGUGACUUUUCCAUAAUUAAGUACUAUUGACAAGUAGCAUUUUCCUAUUAACCUUCCAUUUCUUUCCCAAACACCUAUGCAACAAUAUUCUUAGAAUAUUAAUGAAAAAAAAGAAUUAUAAAUUAUUAAAUUAACUUUAAAAGUAACAUAAAAGUUUAUACAAACUUUUAUAUUAUUAUUUUAUAUUUGAGCUUAAUUUAGUAAAUUAAUUUUUUAUAAAUAAUUACUAGUAAGAUUGUUUCCAGAAUAUUAAAAAUUGCAUUAAGUUGGUGGAUAUUAAUUUAUUGAUAAAAAAUUAUUAGUGAGAUUAUUGUACAAGUGAAAAAAAUACUAUUUCUUUCACAUUGAUAUGUAUUUUAGUUAAUUUUUACAUAAAUAAUUAUUGGUUAAUUUGCUUAUUAAAGUUUUUAUAGAUAAAUUAAGUAAAGUCAACAAUAUUGUUGCAAGGAUAUUAUUAUAAAAAGAAAGAAAAUGUAAGAGUAAGAAUGUAAUAAAUUUAACUGCAUAAAUAUUUUGAUAUAUUUUCCGAAAAUAUAAGGAUUAAAAGAAUAUUUAAAUCAAAAUAUGUGCAUUAAUUAUUUAUGCAGGAGCCCUUAAAUUAUAAUGUGCUUGAGGUAGAUUGCUUCGACUACUUUUUAUUUGUCUUAAUUAUAUAUAUUUGGUUAGCCUUGUACUCAAUUUUGGGACUGGUUACAGAAGAACGAUUGCGUGCAUGUCAAGCCAGAGAGAGUGCUUGCUUAAUUAAUAACCAUAACAAGAAAACGUGCACAAACAAUUAAGAGUCUACAAUGGAAUUGUUUUAUAGAUUCACUUUGGAUAAAAUAUGUUUUCACAAAAAAUUUGGACUAUACCACUGCACAUUUAAUUGUUGAUCGAUCAAAUGAUAUAUUAUACUGUCAAAAUAUAAUAAAACAAAUACUAAUAUAUUAUUCUUCUUAAAAUGUUUGUAUCCGUCCCUUAGAAUAUGGCUUUGAAUAUAAUUUCUACAAGUCCAUGUGAAAACAUCUAGGCAAGAAAGUCACAAAAUACAACCACGCAUAUCUAGAAAGUGGUUGGCAAUAAAAUUUUUGCCAUGUUUAUCCAUGCAAGUAAUGCAGGUGAGAAGUUGAACUAAAUUAACAAGACUAAGCUUUUCUAUUUUUCCUUCAUUCUUUUUGUCGCACCAAACGUUAACUGAAAACACCUUAUCUCCAUUUCUCAUAUGUAUCAAUAAAAGGCCAUUCACAUGAAACCCUAUGCACAAAAACACUUGCCCUAGUUCUUUCAAUUGAUUGACAUAUAUAUAACCCUAUUGCUCAUCCUCAUCUUCAACCCCUACUUACCCAAAGCUAUCAAACCAUGGCUUAUCAAUCUUUUCCAUCUUUUUUCUUAACACUUUUACUUGUUACCCUCUCGUCAAUGUGGUACAAUAUUAAUAUAGUAGAUGCUCGACACCUUCUGGAGGUAGCAUUGCCAGAAAUACCCAAGCCCGAACUGCCGAAAGUUGAGUUAUCUCCAUUCCCGAAACCUGAAUUGCCUAAAGUUGAAUUACCUCCAUUGUCGAAGCCUGAAUUACCUAAAGUUGAAUUGCCACCGCUAACAAAACCUGAAUUGCCUGAGAUUCCAAAACCUGAGCUCCCAAAAGUCCCUGAAUUGCCUGAAUUUCCAAAACCUGCGUUACCAAAGAAACUUGAAGUGCCAGAGAUUCCAAAACCUGAGCUACCAGAACUUCCUGAAUUUCCAGAGAUUCCAAAGCCAGAGCUGCCGGAACUUCCUGAACUGCCUUCUUUUCCUCAUCUUCCUGAAUUUCCUAAGCCAACUCAUUCAACUUCUAAUCCGUAAAUUACCAGGCUGCAUCUUAUUGUUUCAUUGUCGUUGGAUUUCAUGUGUGGUGAACUUUCAUAAAGUACGUUUGGCAUUAUACUGGAAGAGAAAAUAUAUACUCACUGGGCUUGUAUUAUUUUCACUUUAAUUUUUUUCCUUUUUCGUUACUGGCUGAUUCAUGUGUAUUUUACGCACUGUACCUUGUAUUUUCUCUUGUAUUAUAUACGAUUACAUGUGUUUCUAUUAAUAUUUCUUACUAAUUCAUGUUGUUCUAUGUUAUCU